rnacentral:rRNA from 1 species
GUGCCAGCCGCCGCGGUCAUACGUAGGAUCCGAGCAUUAUCCGGAGUGACUGGGUGUAAAGAGUUGGCGUAGGCGGAUAUUUAAGUAGCUAGUGAAAUCUGGUGGCUCAACCAUUCAGACUAUUAGCUAAACUGAGUAUCUCGAGACCGUUAGGGGGUAGCUGGAAUUUCUAGUGUAGGAGUGAAAUCCGUAGAUAUUAGAAAGAACACCGAUAGCGUAGGCAGGCUACUGGGACGGUUCUGACGCUAAGGCACGAAAGCGUAGGGAGCAAACGGGAUUAGAUACCCCGGUAGUCUACGCUGUAAACGAUGGAUACUAGCAGUUUUGGGUAUCGACCCCCAGAGUUGCGAACGUAACGCGUUAAGUAUCCCACCUGUGUAGUACGGCCGCAAGGCUAAAACAUAAAGGAAUUGACGGGGACCCGCACAAGCGGUGGAGCGUGAUCUUUAAUUCGACGGUAAACGAUAAACCUUACCAGGGUUUGACAUCUCGGGAAGGCUUCUGAAAGGAAACUGUGCCCUCGGGAACCCGAAGACAGGUGAUGCAUGGCCGUCGUCAGCUCGUGUCGUGAGAUGUUUGGUUAAGUCCAUCAACGAGCGCAACCCUUGCAACCAGUUGUAUUUUUCUGGUAGGACUGCCCCGGUAACGGGGAGGAAGGAGGGGACGAUGUCAGGUCAGUAUUUCCCUUACACCCUGGGCUAGAAUCGCGCUACAAUGGCUGGUACAAUGCGACGCGAAGUCGCGAGAUGAAGCAAAUCGCAUCAAAGCCAGUCCCAGUUCGGAUAGAAGGCUGAAACUCGCCUUCUUGAAGUCGGAAUCGCUAGUAAUCGCAGAUCAGCAUGUUGCGGUGAAUACGUUCCCGGGUCUUGUACACACCGCCCGA